CAACUUUUAGCAACGGAUCUCUUGGCUCUCGCAUCGAUGAAGAACGCAGCGAAAUGCGAUAAGUAAUGUGAAUUGCAGAAUUCAGUGAAUCAUCGAAUCUUUGAACGCACCUUGCGCUCCUUGGUAUUCCGAGGAGCAUGCCUGUUUGAGUGUCAUGGAAUUCUCAACUUAUAAA
rnacentral:rRNA from 1 species